rnacentral:tRNA from 1 species
AUUUAAGUAGCUUAUAUUAGAGUUUAAUAUUGAAGAUAUUAAGGAAAUUGUUUAAAUUCUUAAAUA